rnacentral:rRNA from 1 species
UACGGAGGGUGCAAGCGUUACUCGGAAUCACUGGGCGUAAAGGACGCGUAGGCGGAUUAUCAAGUCUUUUGUGAAAUCUAAUGGCUCAACCAUUAAACUGCUUGAGAAACUGAUAAUCUAGAGUGAGGGAGAGGCAGAUGGAAUUGGUGGUGUAGGGGUAAAAUCCGUAGAGAUCACCAGGAAUACCCAUUGCGAAGGCGAUCUGCUGGAACUUAACUGACGCUAAUGCGUGAAAGCGUGGGGAGCAAACAGG